AGGUCUUCCGGUCACGUGGCCUAUCAUGGCCGCCUCCAUGGCCCGGGGCGUGAGCGCCCGGGUCCUGUUACGGGCGGCCGGGGGAUCUUGGGGACCCAGGGCCGGGCACGCGGCGGUAACAUCUAGGACGUUCGGGACUACAGGUACAUAGGGCUGGGCCGAGCCGCGGCGUGCAGCGAGGCCGCAGCCGCUCACCCACUCGUGUGUUUCCAGGCGAGCGGCGUGCUGGCGAGGAGGCGGCGGACAGCCCGGAGCUGCCCCGGGACGUGUGAGUGCCCCUCGUGCCACGCCCUGCCCCUCCCUGCCACUCCCUGCCUCCGGCUCAGCACCUGCACCCUGUUUGUCCCCAGGGUCAACGUGGUGUUCGUGGACCGCUCUGGCAAGCGGAUCCCGGUGAGGGGCAAAGUCGGGGACAAUGUUCUAUACCUGGCCCAGCGCCACGGGGUGGACCUGGAAGGGGCCUGCGAAGCAUCCCUGGCCUGUUCCACCUGUCAUGUGUAUGUGAGUGAGGCCCACCUGGAUCUCCUGCCUCCUCCUGAGGAGAGGGAGGACGACAUGUUGGACAUGGCUCCACUGCUCCAAGAGAACUCAAGACUGGGCUGCCAGAUUGUGCUGACCCCUGAGCUAGAGGGAGUUGAAUUUGCUCUUCCCAAGAUCACCAGGAACUUCUAUGUGGACGGCCACAUCCCCAAGCCCCACUGACAUGAGGCCACUGGACAGACCAGGCCAUGGAACUGAAAAGAAAAGCCACGCUUCCUACUCCAGAGGACGGACUGCCCAGGAAAGAGAAGUUGGACCCACAGUGUGAGACCAGAGCUGCCACUGGGGACAGCCAGUGUCUGAGCCCUGAGGGGGAUGGGUCUCCAUCUUGGGUGUGUCAGUCCACCAGGGAGAAUCGAACUAUAAAUUAAGGAUGGACUCUAACCAGAGCUGCAAUAAAAAGUCACACACAUCUCCGA